rnacentral:rRNA from 1 species
UACGUAGGGCGCAAGCGUUGUCCGGACUUAUUGGGCGUAAAGAGCUCGUAGGCGGUUUGUCGCGUCUGCUGUGAAAACUCGAGGCUCAACCUCGGGCUUGCAGUGGGUACGGGCAGACUAGAGUGCGGUAGGGGUGACUGGAAUUCCUGGUGUAGCGGUGGAAUGCGCAGAUAUCAGGAGGAACACCGAUGGCGAAGGCAGGUCACUGGGCCGCAACUGACGCUGAGGAGCGAAAGCAUGGGGAGCGAACAGG